CGAACCCCCACUUCGAAUCGUUGAACACAUACCUGCAACAAAAUAGCAAUACAGUCUUGACGUUCGCCCUCAUAUCACAAUAUCAGUCACCUUUAAUCUGCUGUUUUUCUCUUUGUAAUUACACUCAUUUUGCAAUAAUUAACUUGUAGGUUUACAGUAUUAAGAAAAUUGAUGAAAUAUCAUUGAACUGACUGCAGAUACGCAUUGAAUCACUCAAUAACGAUUUUCACAUCUCAAUAUUGCUUGCAUCUAAUGGAAAAUGAUGAAAAAUUGAUCUUAAGAUAAAAUAAACUACAAAAUGUUGGAUUAUUAUUAUUGAAUAUCUUCGUAUCCAUCAGACCAAUUACUCCAGAGACAGCUUGAUUGUUUCGUACGCACGCAAUGUUCAACAUAAGCACUCGAGUUCAUCCAUUUUGCACGUGAUCCUGUGAAUACAAUUUUAUGACGAUUAUCCUGCAAGAUGUCUCACUCUAUUUCAGCCAUUACUAGGAACUUUCAAGGAUGUCUGGAUGCAUUUAUUUUUUCUUAGACAUUUGUUGGUUCACAUUAACAACACUAAAAUUAAAAUAAAACGAUAUAAAAAUAAUAUUUUGAUACCUGUCAUAUGCUGGCGAUGUUGGAGAUCAGACAAAAUUUUAUCUUAAGUCAAGCAAUCAUUAUUGGAAUAAUGCACUAAUCGACCUAUAACUCUCCAAAAAUGAAGAAGACCUUCAAGCUCUUCAUCUGUGGUAACAACUCCCAAUUUCUUUCCACUUAAAAGAGUAAAUCCAAUAAAUCCAAAUUGAGUGAGUGCCAUGUCCAGUUGAGAGAUUCGACUUAUUCCAGCUUCAUAACUGCGUCUGGAGGCCACACAAUGCUUUCUUCGAACAUUCUUCAAGGAUGUGAAGAAUCUGCAAUCCAUUGGAAGAUUUUCUUAGAACAAUCCAAGGCCACCACACUGUUGGAAGCUUUUUCUCAUUGUAACUUUAUUAUAAUAAAAGCCAUUCGAUGAUGAGCCAUAAGUUUAUUAAUAAUAUUUGUUCAGCAUUUGAUUUUUAAGUUUUAAAAAUAAACAGAUGAUCAGAAAGAUUUAUAAUCUAAUCGAGACGUCUAAACUCUGACGUACGAAAUGAUGUCAAUGAACUGUCGAAAUUCAUUUAGUCUACAUAUAAGAUAUUUCUAGCUCUGUGUUGCAAAAAAAAAACCGUCUUGAGGAAAUGGCUGUGUGUUAAAUAGCAAUAAAACAUGACGUGAUGAGUUUUUUGAGUAUUAUCAUUAAGAUUUUUAUACCAAAUACACGUGUGAAGUAUCGUUGAUGCGUAUCUUCGGAAAGCUGUGCAAGGAGUACCACUUUGUUUGGUGAAUUUUAAAAUUGCAAGGACUGAAGGUACUGCUAAUAAAAUAAGUAGUCCUGAUAAUUUAGCUACCAUCAUCGUAAAAAAAUUAUUCCUGAAGACAUCUUGACCAGUUCGAAAUUUUAUUGGGUCAUAAUAUUCUGGUAAUGUUAUCAUUGGAUCGUCUGCGUCAGCUGGUAUUUUUGCACCUUCUUCCAGAAGCAUCCGAAAUUUCUGUUCAACUGGAUCAUUUUCUAGAAAAUAAUUUUAUUGUUCAUUAAACAGCAUUGUUGAUAAAAAAUUGAUGCGAGUUUAUGUAGCAGAUGAUUAUUGGAGAUCAGAAGCAUCAUGCUGAUCAAUAUAACAGUCAUGUUAUGUGAUAAAUCAGAACUUUAGUAUUCUACAAGAUACAUUUAAUCUACAUCUGUGGAUGGUACGACCUAUGAAUGACCAAAUAAGUGAUAAUCUUAUAUGUACACUUUCAUCAUCAACAUUACAAGUUGUUCCAAUGCCUGCACGUUUACAUGGUGUUACAUCGAAUUUUUGUAUGAGAAAGGAAUUUUGAACAGCCUACACUUCCAAUUUUCUAUCAUGACUUUUUUUCUUUAAAUGAAAGGAAAUUUGUUAACUUUAAGUAUGUAUUUGUUGUAAUUAUAUUCUAGAAUUGAAAAGUAACCGGGCAAAUAACAUGUUAGUAUUUAUUAUUGAUUUAUUCAGAAUUAGAAAAAAAAUAGAACGGUGGGUGAUCAUUGAAGAUAAAUUAACUCAACUAUAACAUUAUAGAAAGUAAGUCGAGGCCAUUAAGUGUUGAUACCGGUACUUUCGUUAGAAGCUGACCAGAGAUGUCGAAUACAUAGGUUUUUCCAAUAUUAUAAAGUUGAAGAAAUCAAGUUUUAAUAUGAAUAUUGUCGUUACAUGCUAAUAUAAAAUGUCAAAAAUAUUUUUUAAUUUAACUUGAUGUUAGUAUUAAGCAAAUAAUUAAUGUGUACUAGUCGAAUUCCAUAGAAGAGGAGUGUACAUGCGACUUUAAAAGUCUGUAUCAUCGUCUUAAAAUGGAAAAAAUUUUUUGAGUUAAA